UGUGAGGGGCGGGGCCUGGGGUAUUUAAGGCGCGCGGCGGCGUCGGUUCCGGUUUCUCGGUGCGUGCGGGGGCGGCAGCGGCCGGUCCGGGCUCUCCCGGCGGGGCCCAGGCAGCUUGUGACAGUGAUUGAUUUACAAUCUGGCCCAAGGCCAAGCUCAGUGGAACAAGCACAACGAGCUGGAGCUGCAGAACAACUGGAACCAGAAGCAGCUGCAGAGGAGCUGGAACCGCAAACAGGCUUGAAGCUGCACAGGCUGGAGCUGGAGCUGAAAGAAACCAGAGAGAGAAACUGGAACCAGAACUCAACUGGAGCCACCCACAAGCUUGAUGUGAUACAUACAAGUUGCAAACACAAACUGAAUAAACAGGAGUACACACUGAACCAAUGAAGGCACAAGCACAAACCCAAUAAAAAGUGGUUACUACCAAUAAA